GAUGAAGAACGUAGUGAAAUGCGAUACGUAAUGUGAAUUGCAGAUCUCUCAGUGAACCAUCGAAUUUUUGAACGCACAUAGCGCCCGCCGGUCAUUCCGGCGGGCAUGCCUGUCCGAGCGUCAUUUCAACCCUCAAGCCCCCGGGCUUGGUGUUGGGGAUCGGCGAGCCUCCGCGCCCGCCGUCCCCUAAAUCUAGUGGCGGUCUCGCUGUAGCUUCCUCUGCGUAGUAGCACACCUCGCACUGGGAAACAGCGCGGCCACGCCGUUAAACCCCCAACUUCUGAACGUUUGACCUCGGAUCAGGUAGGAAUACCCGCUGAACUUAAGCAUAUCAAUAAGCGGAGGA
rnacentral:misc_RNA from 1 species